ensembl:miRNA bta-mir-2441 bta-mir-2441
CCUCCCGCCCUCUGCCCCGUCCCAUCCUCUGGUUACUCCCAAGGGACAGGACAGGACAGUGGGAGGGAGG